UAUUUUUUUUAACACACAUUAUUUCAAAUAUUCUAGGUAAACCAGCCUAUGUAUUAGCUGAUAUGUUUAAAAUUCAUCCCACAACUGCAUCUAAGACAGGGGUGGGCAAAUUACAGCCCGGGGGCCGGAUGUGGCCCAGCGGAAUGUUUUAUGCGGCCUGCUGACACCUACAGCAGACAUGCCUAUAGUCCCGCAUUAUGCGGAAACGGCCCGCAAAAUCAUCAAAAAAGCUCACAUGUUCCGCCGUUCCGCAUUCACGAUUUUUUGUUCCGCCAAGUCUGAAUUCCGACACUAAAAAAAAAUUGCCAUUUUAUCAUUAUUUAUUAAUAGUGCGAAUUGAAAAUACUGAGUGCAAAAUAAAAUAUAUAUAGGUCUGUGUUUAUUGUUUACAUUUCAUCUACUUCCGGACCCGGUGUGUCCUAAAUUUACGAAGAAAUGGUUGAAGACUAGAACUAGAUCUACAUCUAGUUCUAGACAUAGAUCUCUAGAUCUACUGAUCUAGUAGUCUAGGUCUAGAUAUUAGAAUUAGAUCUAUUCUUAGAAUCUAGAUUUUACAUGUGAUGCUGGUAAGCAUAUGCCCUGCACUCUACAUUUGAUCUUGUCACUGGUUACCCAGCAUACAGAGACAAAGAAUAUGAACAUUUGCAAUCACCUGCAACUAGGGAUCAUCUCAUGGAAAUUAGAGGAUGGCCUGGACAUUAGCUAUGGUCAGAACAAUGUUGUUUUCCUUCUAAGUGGAUGGCAAGCUAAGGCUAAUGAACCUUUCCUACCUGAAGAUUACCUGGCUUAGUUGCCAGUUGUUCAACUUUGCCCCUUCA